AACGAACGCUGGCGGCAUGCCUAACACAUGCAAGUCGAACGAGAUCUUCGGGUCUAGUGGCGCACGGGUGCGUAACGCGUGGGAAUCUGCCCUUUGGUUCGGAAUAACAGUUGGAAACGACUGCUAAUACCGGAUGAUGACGAAAGUCCAAAGAUUCAUCGCCAGAGGAUGAGCCCGCGUAGGAUUAGCUAGUUGGUGUGGUAAAGGCGCACCAAGGCGACGAUCCUUAGCUGGUCUGAGAGGAUGAUCAGCCACACUGGGACUGAGACACGGCCCAGAAUCCUCAGGGAGGCAGCAGUGGGGAAUAUUGGAAAAUGGGCGAAAGCCUGAUCCAGCAAGGCCGCGUGAGUGAUGAAGUCCUUAGGGUUGUAAAGCUCUUUUACCCGGGAUGAUAAUGACAGUACCGGGAGAAUAAGCUCCGGCUAACUCCGUGCCAGCAGCCGCGGUAAUAC
rnacentral:rRNA from 1 species